GGAAACGAAUUAUAUUCCUGUGUCCGCUGGAAAACUGGGCUCGCUGGACGAAGAACAGAAAGAGAUGGAUGCAUACUGCGUCCGCUGGGAGACUGAGGCUCGCUGGACGGACAGAGGAAACAAAUAGGUAUUUACAGUGUCCGCUGGGAGACUGAGGCUCGCUGGACAGGUAGAGGAAAAAUAGAUAUUUACUGCAUCCGUUGAGAGACUAGUGCUCGCUGGACAGACAGAGAAACAAAUAGAUAUUACUGCGUCCGCUGUGAGGCUAAGGCUCGCUGGACAGACAGGGGAAACCAAUAGAUAUUUCUGUGUCCGCUGGGAGACUAGUGCUCGCUGGACAGACAGGGGAAACCAAUAGAUAUUUUCUGUGUCCGCUGGGAGACUAAGGCUCGCUGGACAGACAGAGGAACAAAAUAGAUGUUUACUGCGUCCGCUGUGAGACUAGUGCUCGCUGGACUGACAGAGGAGACAAAUAGGUAUUUUCUGCGUCCGCUGGGAGACUAAAGCUCGCUGGACAGACAGAGGAAACAAUUAGAUAUUUACUGCACCCGCUGAGAGACUAGUGCUCACUGGACAGACAGGGGAAACCAAUAGAUAUUUCUGUGUCCGCUGGGAGACUAGUGCUCGCUGGACAGACAGGGGAAACCAAUAGAUAUUUUCUGUUCCGCUGGGAGACUGAGGCUCGCUGGACAGACAGAGGAAACAAAUAGAUAUUCCUGCGUCUGCUGAGAG